GGACGAACGCUUGGCGGCGUUGGCCUAACACAUGCAAGUCGAACGGAGAACAUUUAGCAAUAGAUGUUCUUAGUGGCGGCGGGUGAGUAACGCGUGAGCAAUCUGCCCUUCGGAGGGGGACAACAGCUGGAAACGGCUGCUAAUACCGCAUAACGUAUUUGGAUGGCAUCAUCUGAAUACCAAAGAUUUAUCGCCGUAGGAUGAGCUCGCGUCUGAUUAGCUAGUUGGUAGGGUAAUGGCCUACCAAGGGCUUCGAUCAGUAGCCGGACUGAGAGGGUUGAAACGGCCACAUUGGGACUGAGAUACGGCCCAGUACUCCUACGGGAGGGCAGCAGUGGGGAAUAUUGGGGCAAUGGGGGCAACCCUGACCCAGCAACGCCGCGUGAAGGAAGAAGGGCUUUCGGGUUGUAAACUUCUUUGACCAGGGACGAAGAAAUGACGGUACCUGGAAAACAAGCCACGGCUAACUACGUGCCAGCAGCCGCGGUAAUACGUAGGGUGCAAGCGUUAAUCGGAAUUACUGGGCGUAAAGCGCACGCAGGCGGUUUGUUAAGUCAGAUGUGAAAUCCCCGGGCUCAACCUGGGAACUGCAUCUGAUACUGGCAAGCUUGAGUCUCGUAGAGGGGGGUAGAAUUCCAGGUGUAGCGGUGAAAUGCGUAGAGAUCUGGAGGAAUACCGGUGGCGAAGGCGGCCCCCUGGACGAAGACUGACGCUCAGGUGCGAAAGCGUGGGGAGCAAACAGGAUUAGAUACCCUGGUAGUCCACGCCGUAAACGAUGUCGACUUGGAGGUUGUGCCCUUGAGGCGUGGCUUCCGGAGCUAACGCGUUAAGUCGACCGCCUGGGGAGUACGGCCGCAAGGUUGA
rnacentral:rRNA from 1 species